UAGAAUUGGAUGUUAAAUGCAUUUUGUUUCGAACUAGUACCAUUUGUCUUUUCCAGAUAACUAAAUCAAGUAUUUCUCAUCAAUAUCAAUUUGUAUACGGGGCAACCUCUUAUACUCUUCUUCUCGUACAGAAGACAAGAUGUUCUCCAGGAGCCAACAAUUACAGAGUUCCAAAACAGAUGGCCAGCACUGUUUGAUGACCGCAUGGAGUAUAUGCUUUUAACAACCGUUCCUCUGACUUCAAAAUUCACUGGACAACUGGACAGAUACACUGAUGACCUGAUCAAGGUUUUCCAUGCCAGAGGAAGAUCUGCAGGAAAGAAAAUCAGCACCAUAAUGGCACCGACAGCUAAUAAUGAAGACCUAUUCAUCAAGCACGAUUGUGUCCUGAGGAAUCUAAGUGUCUAUCUCAAUGAAGACAUGGAGACACUCGUCAAAGAAUAUGUGGAAGUAAACAACCCAGGACCUGAGGAGGCUGGGACAGAGAGGGCAGCCUGCCAUGUUGUGGCACCUAAAUGCCUCAACUACACCAAUUAAGACAAUUCUUCCAGGAACAGGAAGUUACUAGGACACCAGAAGGAGGACUCUGAUGAUGAAAACAGUGAUGUGGAGCUUUACAACCCUGCAUAAUUUGUCAUGGUCAUUUAAGAAAUAAUAAGAAUGGAUAUGGAGGACUGUCUGCAUAUGAACUGAAGUGCCUGGAGAACAUAAGACAGAAACAAGCCUUCCUGUCUUCCAUCAAGUUAUUGCAGGCAGCUGAGGAUCUGAAGCAGACAGUAAGGCUGAAGCCAUCUCAGUGAGGUCUUAUGAGGUCAAAGGCUGCUGUGACAGAUGUGGCGCCUCCUCGCAAGUCCUUGCAUCUCCAGUUGGACACCCUCCCACUUCCCCCUGAAUUCCAAGGAGUAUUGACCUAUGAACCUGCUUUUUGGAGGUGGUCCAAGGGUACAGUUCAAGGUUACUAUGACCCUUAUGUCCCAUAAUAAUCGCAUUCUCAUGAAUGCGAUUUCUCCGGAACGCCUCAAGGAUGUGAUGAUUCGACAUUGGUGGUCAAAGGUCAAGGUCCCUGUGACACAGCAAAUUUUUCCGUUUGUCCUCCAGGACAUCGAAUCCAGUGAGGCUGAGUUGGGGCAGACAACGAUGGGUAUCUACGCCAUUCGGGUAGAGGGUGCAGGUUCAGGAGACAGACAUUUUACUUGGUAC